AGUGGAAUUGCUGGAUUGUAUGAUAACUGUGUUUAACAUUUUGAGGAACUACCAAACUGUUUUCCAAUGUAGGUGCACCAUUUUACAUUUUCACUAGCAUU
rnacentral:pre_miRNA from 1 species